UCCAUUAUUAAUUGUGAUAAUAACAGAUGGGCGUAUUUUUCUUACUCCACCUAGAAUUUCAGGUGAAUUAAAUGAAAAUAAUGAUGUUAUGAAGGAAAAUUCCAACGGAAAUAGAGGAUUUGAAACUUUGCAGUUCACAUUAUUGAAUUUUCUUUGUUUUUUUCUAUUACCACAGAGGUGAUUAGUAGGACAAUCAAAGAUACUGACUUUUCUCUUUCUAAACUUUUUUCUCUCACCUCUUUCUAGAAAACCUUAGAAAUCACCACCUCCUCCGCUCCGACGGUUGUCACAUCCUCUUUGCGGUCGUCGGAGGCUCUGGUCACUGUGUUUCUUCUUCUCCUUGUUCUUCUCUGUAAUCCAUGUCUUUUGCAGCGGAGGGUAGCUUGACGAGUCGACCUCUCCGGUUCAGAUCUAGGGUUUCCGUCGUAGAUCUAGGAGGUUCUCGGUGCUGUGGCUGGGUCCUUGAGGAUGGCUCUCGUCUCGUCGCAGCUGUCUUCUCUUUCGAUGGCCGGUCUCUGUUCACUGAAAGUUUUAGAUCUCGUUUCAGCUCUUCAGGAUAGGUGGUGGGUGAGUCGUCGGCGGUAUAUCCAAGGUAUUCUCUCCUCCUUCGGUGUGGCUUUUGAUUGUCGUGGGAAUGGGUCUCUCUUGGCGGUCCGAUUGGAGGUCUGCUUCAGUCUCAAACUAGGGUUUUGUUUUCCACUGGUGAUCUCUGGUGGGUGGCGUGGAGUUUUCUGAGGUUGGAUCUAGACUCUCCUCACGGGGUUCUCUUGUGGCGGCGCUCUGUUGUUAGCUUCAGUUCUCUACUUUGGAACCUUAGUUACCGAUGGUGUGGCGCUCCUCGCCCCUGUCUUUCCUCCUUGGACUCUUCACAGGGGUUGUGUACCCUUCCAGUCCUUCUGUUCUAUAUGAACUUUCAGUUAAAAGGGUGUAUACGGUCAUGGGUGGAAGGUUUGGAGGCGGCAAUCUACAACGACAGCAUCGUCGGAUGGUGUCAUUACCUCGUGCCGCUGCUUGUAGUUCGUGUCGAGUAGCUACCCUGUCCGUGCUUUGUGAUUCUUUGGAUUGGUUUGUGUUCGGUGGGUCCUUUGGAAGCUGUAGGCACAGUGCAUCCAAGGUUUGAGGACACCUUUCUCUUGGGCUCGUGGCAACCGACAUGUCUCUUCCCGCGCCAUUCCAGUCUCCUUGGUCUGAGCUCGCCUCGUUGCCUUCUGUUUCUUUGACUUCAUAUAUCUCCUUUUUUGUGAUCUUGUUAUUGUGUUGUUGCUUGCUGUUUAGUUUCAAUUUAUGCUUCUCUUCUACUAGUUUCUUUGUAAGCUUCUGUCAAAAAUCAAAAACUUGUAUAAUAAAUUUAACAUUUUACCAAAAAAAAUAUUAAGUUAGUAGACUUAUAAGUUAUAGGUUAUAACUCAAAA